rnacentral:lncRNA from 1 species
ACCAGUAGGACCAGAUGACCAUGGAGGCCUGACCUGGGGCUGCCUGGCAGUAGUGGAAACCCAGGUGCCCCAGAGCUGAGUCUUCCACAGGCACCCAGAAGGCUAUCCUUAAUCCCUCUGCGCCAAGUAGCAGCAAAGCCCAGGAGUUCCCUGAGGGCCAUAGACUACUUGGCUGUAUUCUGUUAUCCCUGCCUUUUCCUGGAACGCCGAGGCUCACAAUGCAACUUCAGAUAAGAACACAAAUAUCAGUGCGGGGCAGCCUGAGCUGAGGAUUCAUCUGGGAGGAUCAACUCUAAGACUGAUGCUCUCACGAAGAUCUCAGGAAUACCCACAAAGAGUGCCUGUCCUCUUGCUCUUGUGUGGGUUCUGUGUCUUACAAACCCACUCUCCUGACCCUGCUUCUCAGCAUGCAUCACCUGUGUGCCUGAGAGAUCCACAAAUGCUAAGCUCUACACUUCACCCUAAGGGGCUCCUCAGCAACCAGGACAACUGUGAGAGGCUGAGGGUGUCACUUCAUCUCUGGAAGAGCACACAAAGGUGGGUGUUUUUGCUGUUUGUUUCUCCUGUGGCCAGUAUUUGCACAGUGGCUCUCCAAGGCUGAUCUGAGCCAUCCCAGGGUACAGGAGCAACUUAAGGAACCCACUUGCUUCCUUCCUUCUGCCACUGAGUUAAAACAGGGAACUUGCCAGUCACCAUUUCUACAUCUUUCAGGCCAUGUGCAUCUAUCUUCAGACUCCUCUCACCCUUCUACCCCAUCAUUGGUCCGUUUGAUUGCUGUUGUCAGGGUAACGGUAGGCUGGCCCUUUGCCCUCUAGGGGUAUUAAUGUGGGCCACCAGCAGGAGAUAUGCCAGCAGCUGUGGGGCCCACCUGUCUCUCACUGACUGUAGACCAGUUCCGGGCAGCUUGAGCAGCAAAGCACAGGGGCACACUAGCAGGCCGGGGCACAGCAGAGUGUGGGUGUUAUAUUGCCUCUGAGCACUGUGUCAUUUUAUCCACUGCUUAGGGACUAAUGGAUCAGGAAUAUAAAGAGAAGGUUACAGCCAUGUCCUUGGCAAUCCAUGGACUGUGAUCUGCGUGUUCAGCCCACGUCAGCAGUUUGAUUUCAAGGGUUGAUUUGUGUAUGCCACUGGAAGACUCAGGGUCUUAUCUAACCCAUGAAUUUCCAAAACAAUUUAUAAGGUACUUUUUCAGAAACAUGGCACUGUUAAAAUUAGAAAUUUAUAUAUAACUUC